GUAGCUGGUUCCCUCCGAAGUUUCUCUCAGGAUAGCAAGGACAGCGUAGCAGGGUUUUCGUAUGAGGUAAAGCAAUGAUUAGAAGCCUCGGGGAGUAUAACAUUCUCGACUUAUUUCUCAAACUUAAAAUUCGUAAUCGCCCGGUAUUUCUUAAGUGAACGCCGGGGUAGCCUGCUUGUCCUUAGUGGGCCAUUUUUGGUAAGC
rnacentral:rRNA from 1 species